rnacentral:RNase_P_RNA from 1 species
UCGAGCUGGUGGGCGGGCCACGGGGAUCUCCUGAGGAAGCUCCUCCCUCCAAACGGGGGGCGCGGCGCCGCGAGGCGCGACGGGAGACCGUCGGCAACGGAAAAGAAACGGAACCCCCCGGCGAGCGAUGUCGGUGAUGGGGGCGAACCCCGGAGGAGGCGCCGGGGAGGAUGAAACGGCCGACCCGCGCGGAGCAAGGCCAAACAGGGCCGAUGAGUCCCCCACGAGGCCCGGGUGGGCCUCUGAGCCUAAUCCCGCCAGAACAGAAGGAGGGCUACGGCCAGCACGA